rnacentral:tRNA from 1 species
AGGCCAAUAGCUCAAUUGGUAGAGUAUCGGUCUCCAAAACCGAGGGUUGUAGGUUCGAGACCUACUUGGUACUGCCA